rnacentral:rRNA from 1 species
UUGGGAAUAUUGGACAAUGGGGGAAACCCUGAUCCAGCAAUGCCGCGUGAGUGAUGAAGGCCUUCGGGUUGUAAAGCUCUUUUGGCGGGGACGAUGAUGACGGUACCCGCAGAAUAAGCUCCGGCUAACUUCGUGCCAGCAGCCGCGGUAAUACGAAGGGAGCAAGCGUUGUUCGGAAUUACUGGGCGUAAAGGGCGCGUAGGCGGUUUGACAAGUUGGGCGUGAAAGCCCCAGGCUUAACCUGGGAACUGCGUUCAAAACUGUCUCACUAGAGUUCAGAAGAGGAUGGUGGAAUUUCCGGUGUAGAGGUGAAAUUCGUAGAUAUCGGAAAGAACACCCGUGGCGAAGGCGGCCAUCUGGUCUGACACUGACGCUGAGGCGCGAAAGCGUGGGGAGCAAA